rnacentral:rRNA from 1 species
UGCAAGUCACGGGGGGUAGCAAUACCAACCGGCGAACGGGUGCGUAACACGUGAGCAAUCUGCCGAUGUCUGGGGGAUAGCCGGCCCAACGGCCGGGUAAUACCGCAUACGCUUGCUUUGAGGAGUCUCGAGGCAAGGAAACCUCCGGGGGACAUCGAGGAGCUCGCGGCCUAUCAGCUAGUUGGCGGGGUAAUGGCCCACCAAGGCGAUGACGGGUAGCUGGUCUGAGAGGAUGGCCAGCCACAUUGGGACUGAGAAACGGCCCAGACUCCUACGGGAGGCAGCAGUGGGGAAUCUUGCGCAAUGGCCGAAAGGCUGACGCAGCGACGCCGCGUGUGGGAGGACGCCCUUCGGGGUGUAAACCACUGUUGCCCGGGACGAACAUCCCCUUUCGAGGGGACUGACGGUACCGGGUGAGGAAGCACCGGCUAACUCCGUGCCAGCAGCCGCGGUAAUACGGAGGGUGCGAGCGUUGUCCGGAAUCACUGGGCGUAAAGGGCGCGUAGGCGGCGCGGGUAGUCGUCGGUGAAAGCUCAGGGCUCAACUCUGAGUCGGCCGGUGAUACUCCCGUGCUUGAGCACUGUAGAGGCAGGUGGAAUUCCGGGUGUAGCGGUGGAAUGCGUAGAGAUCCGGAAGAACACCGGUGGCGAA